AAUUAUAUUUGACGUCGCAAAAAAAAAAAAAAAAAAAAAACCCAAAAUCUGAUUCCCGCUCGUUUUCCUCCUCAACCAAAAUCCCCAAAUCUCAAAUCCCAAUCUUUUGAACCAAAAAUCUCCAUCUCUCUCUCUCUCUCUUGCGACUGUGAGCAGGGCAGAAGACAGCGUCGAGCUAAGGCGAGCAGCGGCAGAUGACGGCAUCGAGCUACGGCACCGACAGCGUGAAACGGCAUCGAGCAGCGGCAGACGACGGCGUCGAGCGACGGCGAGCAGCGAGCAGCAGCACACGACGGCAGCGUGAACUAGGCUCAGCUUCCUGAAGCUCGUGUUAUUUAUUGCUCAGCAACUGGUGCAUCGGAGCCAUGCAAUAUGGGUUAUAUGGUCCGUCUUGGUCUUUGGGGAGCUGGAACGUGUUUCCUUGAAUUUCGUCAUUUUUUAGAGGGAUGUAUGUAUGCCGUACGCUGAGCUACGAAGGGCAGAGUUUGAAACUGUUGAAGUACCAUUAGAGGCCAAAAUGAUGCAUUUCUUUAAACACAUGUGUAUGUCAGCUAAGGUGUCUGCCAUUGUAAGACUUGCUAAACAAGCAUUGAUGGAGAACAAGUGUGUGGUUAUUGGCAUACAGAGUACAGGAGAGGCAUGAACUGAGGAAGCUGUGGCAAAAUAUAUAUUUCCCGAGUAGGAGUUUGCUUCUUGUGGAAUGCGUGCCUGUGAAAAAUGCGACUAACUCUUGCUUUUGUUACCUACGGAGAAUAACGAGGAAAACUUUUAAUUUUGGUUUAUGUUAUUUUGAAUUAUGAACAAUAUUAUGUAUUUAAACAUUAUAUAUGCAUUAUAGAACAUUAUUAGUGUGGUAAUUUUGUUGAUGUGUAGUUAUGGA